UUUUGCAUGAAAAAAAUCUUGGAGGAAGACCCAGGUUCGGCCGCCGAACCUCAAGUUCGGCCGCCGAACAUGCAUGCACUUUGGGAGAGCCUUAGGCCCCCGAAGGCAUAAGUGAGGGAAGUCCAGGUUCGGCCGCCGAACUUGCAUGCGUUGCGGAGGCACGUUCGGCUCCCGAAUGUGGCUUGGCCAGCCACCUAUAAAGGGGUCCCUUAGCCGAAAACGGGCGAGUUUUUCUCCCCAUUUUCGGCCAAGGUGAGCUCUCCGCCGUCCCUCACCGAUCUUGAGUUUCUUCCUUCCAUUCUUCAUGAUUUUUAUGAGUUUUCACCUUCAUUUUGAAGAUUUUCGAGUAUAAAGCAAGUUUUGGAGCUUUGAGGUUCAAGAAGCUCAAUCUCUCCCAUCUCCGAGCUAGGGUCGUUCUCCUCUCGAUCUUCAAGAGGUAAGGGCCGAUCUUGAGCUCAUUU
rnacentral:lncRNA from 1 species